rnacentral:pre_miRNA from 1 species
UCUUAUGGAUAAGCAAAACAAAGUGGUUUCUUAAGAUAGAAUCUAUUCCUGGUAAAGAUGCUGUGAA